rnacentral:lncRNA from 10 species
ACAAAUUGGAGGUUUGUGGCAACCCUGCAUAAAUCAAAUCUAUCAGCACCAUUUUUCCAACAACAUAUGCUCACUUCUCAUCUGUGUCAGCAUUUUUUAGCAAUAUUUUAAAAUUAAGGUACUGCCAUCUUUUGCAAAUUGAAGGUUUGCGGAAACCCUGCAUGGAGGAAGUGUAUCGGCGCCAUUUUUCCAACAGCAUGCGCUCACUUUGUGUCUUUUUUCACAUUCCCCUAAAGAGGGAAACAGCACAGGACUGGGCAGUGCAAUGCUUCCAUAGUGCACCUCAUUGCAUGGACGUUCCCCUGAGGCUGGUGGGCAAGCCAGCGCCAAGCAACCCACUCUGUGAUCAGCCCACUCCCCAUGGGAGUCUUGUCCCUUGGUGGCAAGUGUUUCCAUAGUACUACAGAAUGGAUAGUUGUCCCCUUGAAAUCUCAUGUUGAAAUUUGAUCCCCCAGGUUGGAGGUGAGGCCUGGUAGGAGGCGUUUGAAAUCCAGGGGCAGAUCCCUCAUGAAUGGCUUGGUGCCAUUCUCUGAAAAGUGAGUUCUCACUCUUAGUUCCAGAGAGAACUGACUGUGAAAGAGCCCGGCACCUCCCUCCCUCUCUUUUCCUUUCUCUCUCCUGCUCCCCUUCACUUUCUGCCAUGAGUGGAAGCUUUCUGGGGCCCUCACCAGAAGCAGAUGCCAGCAUAAUGCUUCUUGGACAGCCUGCAAAACUGUAAGCCGAAU